rnacentral:rRNA from 1 species
AGAAUGGAAUUUCAAAAAAUUUCUUUUUUGAAUUUAAAAAUUAAAGUUAUUUUUAUUUGUGAAGAAACAAUAAUAUAAAUUAAGGACAAGAAGACCCUAAGAAUUUUUAUUAGCUUUAUUUAAAGACUUAAAAUAAAGUUAAUUUAAUUGGGGCGAUUUAAAAAUAUAAUUAACUUUUUUUAAAAAAAAAAAAACCCAUUAUUAAUGAUAAAUUGAAUAAAUACUCUAGGGAUAACAGCGUAAUAAUUUUAAAUAGUUCAUAUAAAAAAAAUAGUUUGCGACCUCGAUGUUGGAUUAGGAUUCUAAUUUAAUGAAAAAGUUAANAUUGAGAAGUUUGUUCA